GAGUUUGAGGUCAGUCUGGUCUUCAGAGUGAUUUCCAGGAUAGCCAGGACUACCCAGAGGAACUAUCUCAAAAACAUAAUGUUUGGUUUGUUUAGGUUUUGAUACAAGGUCUUACUGAUGUUGAUUUCAAGAUCAUGAUCCUUCUGCCUCUGUUUCCAAAUGUGCUGUUAUUGGCAUAUGCCACCAGGCCUGACUUGUUAGAAACAUCUAUAUAUAAGAUCAAGGAAAUUCUACCAUAAUCUCUUCAAAUUGCAUGUAGUUAGAUCUUAACAACUGACUUAAGUUGAAUUUAAGUAGGUGCAGUUCUCUGACCCCUCAGUCUCAUUUCCAGAGUCUAUGAAUUCUGUGGGACCUACGGUUUGUCAGUGUUCCUCCUGUUUGAAGGCACUUUUUCUGAUUUGAUUUUUUUAUUUUUUAGUCCUUAUUUAUUUAGUACUUUUUUGUAUUAGAACAUUGAGCUUUUAACCUACAUUGUUUAAGGAUUUUUAUAGUUUGUCAUAGUUUAUGGGUGUACAAACAUGGAGAUUGCACCAAGCCUCCUCUCCCAUCCUGAAUAACAUAGUCUGACAGUAAAGACUUAUUUCAAUGAUUAUUACAAGAAGCCCUUAAAGAAGGGAAGGAGAUGAAAGAAUGCAUAUGACAUUAAGUUGGUAUAUGGAAAUAACAUUUGAGGUCUAACCAUGUACCAAGUACUUCCUACAUGGUGUGCUUGUAUGUUAUUGUUUGAGAUACGCUCUCUUUAUGUAACCCUGGCUGGCCUGGACUUGCUACAUAGAUCAGGCUGGCCUUGAAUUUAAGGGAUCAGCUUGCCUUUGCUGGAAGUAAAGGCCGUUAUGCCUCAGCGUUUGUUGCAUACUCUUUCUGUCAUUGAGAUAAACAGAUUUAACAAAAGUAGCCUGCAUUAUAUAGAAAACAAAAUUUAAAACAAACAUAAAUCACUUGAAUGUCUUUCCUGGUACUAAAAUUUGAAACUAGACAUUUUUGUUUUCACUUUGUAUCGUUAGACAAAAACCUCACUCAGUUGGCCACAGGUCACAAGACUCCUGAGACAGACCUUGAACUUGUAGCCCUACUGCUUCAGACUCUUGAGAGGCUAAAAUUGCUGACCUACGUCACCAGGUCCAGCUCAGUCACUAGAAUUGUUCAGAAUGUUUGUUUCUGUUGACCUACCCUUUAAGUGUGGUGCCUCUGCAUGGUAUUGGAAAAGUCAGGAUUUUUCUAGGGUUCUGAGAUAGUAGUACUUUUUUUAAAAAAAAAUAUUAUGUAUACAAUAUUCUGUCUGUGUGUAUGCCUGCAGGCCAGAAGAGGACAUCAGACCCCAUUACAGAUGGUUGUGAACCACCAUGUGGUUGAUGGGAAAUGAACUCAGGACCUUUGGAAGAGCAGGCAAUGCUCUUAACCACUGAGCCAUCUCUCCAGUCCCAGUAGUACUUUUUAUAGAAGUUUAAACAUAUGAAGUAAUAGGGUUCACUACAAUGUGUGUGUGAUUGUUUUUUGUUCUAGUUUACCCCUGUCCCUCACUGCCCUUCAGGCUGGUUUCCUCCCUUCAAAAAUAUCUCCGCCUUCUGCUUUUAUAUCUCAUACAGUCUAUAGCACGCCACGAUAUUGUUACUCCCCCACUUAAGAUCUGUGCACCCUCCAUGGUCUCUUAAGCAUUUCCUUUUGUUUAAGACAUGAUCUCAUGUAGCCCAGGCUGGCCUCAAGCUCACUAUGUAGCUGAGGUAGUUUUUGAACUCCUGAUUCUUCUGCCCCUGCCUCACAAGUAUUGAUAGUACUCGUACCAUGGCGACAGGCUGAUUUUUUUUCUCCCAGUAUUUUAAAAUGUUAUGUGUAAAAGUGUUUUGCCUUGGUGUAUGGAUGUAUAUUAUAUGCAUGCCUGGUGCCCAUGGAAGUCAGAUGAGGACAUCAGAUCCUCUGGAAUGAAGUUACAGAUGGUUAUUAGCCUCUCUGUGUUGGUGUUGUGAAACAACCAAAGUCCUCUGAAGAGAACAAGUGUUUUCAACUACUGGGCUACCUUCCUAACUCCUCAGGCUGUAGUUCUCAAUGAUCUGGGUGCAUGAAGCUCUUAAGGAUUUUAUGAAAGUUUUUGAUCCAUCCAAGAUGUUACUCCUGCCCUCAUACAUAUAUAGAAAGGGAAUUGGCCAAGUCCCAGACACUGCAUCUAUGUACAAAUGCUUGUAGCUCUUCUGGGAUGCAGUAAGGUGCAUGACUCAGGUUAAAACUCAGCCCUGGAAGUGUAUGGGUAUCCACAUAGCCUGGAGGGAGUUCCAUUCAUCUGCAUGAUACUGUUAAAUGCUGCCACACCUUAGUGGUACUCUGUGAACUUGAGAAGACUUACACCCAGGCAUCCUGAUGGUUCACUGAAAGGCAUGCUGUGUUUUUCUCCUGUAAAUAGAAAAUUUAUCCAUUUUGUAUUUAGAUUCAUGAAUGUGUGCUAUAACCAAAUGGUAUUACUUUCUUUUAACCUUUGCAGUACACGCUGUGCAGUCUUAUAGAUAAAGAAAUGAGGAUUGCCCACAUAGACAGCAUAUUUUGGAUUUUGUAAUAAGUGGUUACUCUCGUUUACUACCACUCUCCCCUCUGAAAUUCACUUGGAAUCCUUUAGGUCAGCCCCUCUGAAAUUUUCUUGGAUAAACAAUGAUGACAAAAAAAUUGUCUUGCAUCAUAGUGGAUAACAGUGACAUGCAGAACAAGUAGUCUCCUUGGAAUACGGCAUAGCCCACUAAGUGGUGGCAUGGGUCAGUCUAGUUAAAGGAGAACAAUGACACACAUACGCCAUGUCUUCUCAUCCCUGUUUGAUGAUCCUCUUGUCAAGGAAUCUUCAAGAAAUACCUGCUGUCAUUUAACCAGAGCAGCUGUCUUAUCUGCUUACUGAAGCUCCAGAAGCAUUCACCUUCUACCUGAGAGCAAGCCUGCCAGUCAAGAUCUUGCUAUACAGUUGGCUGGCAUGAAUGCACUAUGUGGAACAAGCCGGCCUUAAAGUUGGAAUGACCCUCCUGUGUCCGUGCUAAGAUUAUAGGCAUGUACCACCUUGCCUGACUGAAAUAGAAUUUUUGUCAGUCCUUCAUAUGAUUGUGCAUCACUGAGCCGAGUGGAAAGACGCUACCUGAAAGCUGCAGAUUGGAAAGCAGACAGACAGGAGCUUGAAACCAGGCUGUGCCAACAAUACUGGUCAUGUGACCUGGCGGAAAUUGCUUAACUUCUUUAAGGCUCCUUGUCCUCAUUUUGCAACGCUGUGAUUUCCCUCGAAUACGGAGUUUAGGAACUUGAAGAAGAGAGGGCUAAAGAAAGCACGAUCCUGCUCAGCAUUUUGUUGUUGGAAGAUACUGCGCUUCUACCUCACCUCACGCAGAUAAGACUUGUUUUAUGACAGCUGCAGACAGCAGCUCUGAGUGUCAGGGAGCCUGGAAUUCCAGCCCGUGGUUCACCUGUGCAUCAUCUUCCCUGCUGUGAAAGGUGGCCUGCCUCGUCAUGUGACUUUUCCUGGAGAGAUGUUCAUCCAUUGAAAAGAGACCACAGGGUAUUUCACCCAAGUCUCGCUUGGUGAACCCGUGAGUUUAUGGGCUUCUUUACAGGGCCACGGCUGACUCACAGACAGCUACAUCCCUGAAAAGCGUCUUCCGGGGAUGGGUGAUGAACACUCGAGUCUUGGAGCCUCCUCCCUAACUGGCAGACAGCUCAGCUGACCUGAGAGUCUGCACUGCCCAGUGAUUGUUUACCACUAAUAUAUAGCCUCAGGGGAGGGGCCUUGUGAGGCCUGUAACUCUCUGAGCUUCCUGAGUCUUCGAAGUUUGGGGAGUCCUGUGGGCCUCCUUUGUCCUUCCAGGAAGGAAGCUUUCAACCUGAAGGAAAUCACUGCACAGUGGUGCUAACGUGUGCUCAUGUGAGAGUUGACGCAUCCACUCGGAGCCUCUUUUCAAAGUGCCUGCUUAUCUCCCCAGCUGUGGACAACAUCUGCAGAUGCUCCUUCUGAGCUUCAGAGCCACACUUGCAGCUUUCAUUUGGGUUCCAUGGCCUGAGUCAUGCUGCUCCCCCCAACCCAGAGGUCAUCUAGUCCUCCUCUUCUUGUGAUUUCCAACUUCGCCUUCUUCAUGGGGGCACUUAGUACCAAGGCCUGAGUCCAGCACACAGUGGCUCCCAUACCACGCUUAACAGCUGGCUUAGAGGAAUUAUGUUCAGACUCAUUAUAAGUUCCUGGUAGGGCAUCCCCAAAGUAUCUUGUUGGGGCCAGAUGUUGUAACAUUGACCAUUGAUCCUAGUGCCCCUGCAGAUCUAUGAGUUUGAGGCCAGCCUGGUCUACAUAUUGAGUACCAGGCCAACAUGAUGAGCCCCUGUCUGGAAAAACAAAACAAACAACCAAGUUGAUUAAUCCAUUUAUACUGUGUUUCUCAUCUCUUCUUGCUUUAUUGGUAGCUUCUCUUCUUUGGGAAGUUGACAUUUCCUGCUGCUUUUCCCUUCCCAACUAUUGGCAGUUUCUAGCACAAACUGCAUUAGUCUGGGGAACUUCAGAAAACCUCCUCUAUAAGGGCAAACUAAUAUUGAAUAUCAGAGAAACAACCCUUUGGUCCUAUAGAACAUUUUGGUCUUUUGGAGUUUUUGUGUUUGUUUGUGUUAUGGUUUUGGUCCCUGUCCCUUCAAGAGACAAGCCACGCCCACUCCCUCCCCCAUCCGCUGA